AGGUUAUGUUUUUUUAAAUUGUAUUUUUAAUUGUGUUUUGUCUCCAUUUUCUUUUAAAAGAGAAACGAAAACUUCAAUUUGCCAAAUUGCUGUACAUGUUUCCUUGCUGGGUAGUUGCCCUAGCAAGUUAACCUAAAAUGAUUUUCUAAAAUGUAUUUUUAAUGAGAAAAUUUGAUCCCUGAAAUUUGUCUUAAACAUUUUUUUUCUUCAAACCUCUUAUAGGACUAUGGAGUUUCCAUAUCUUAGUGCCAAGAGCAUAGCAAAGAAAUCCAGCUCAGUUUAGUAAUUACUUGUGUUACUCUAGCUCAAAGUUGUUUUGCUCUUAAUGGCUUAGGAGAGCCAUUUGAAUACUUUGAUUCUUGUAAUAAAAGUUCUAAUGGGGAAAGUAGGUGAAUGCCCAUGUAAUGUUUAGCCUAUUAAAACAGUGAUAUUCAAAGCUUUUGCAGAUAAAAUUCUUACCAGGGACUAUGAAUAAGGACAGGUCAAUUGUAAGGAAAGCAAGAAAAAAAUAAGAAAGUCAAAGUCAAUUGGGAGAGUCUUUUCCUUCUUCAAAAUAGGGCCCACAAUAUAGGGGAAUUUAUUUUUUCUCCCUUCUUAUUGGAAGAGGGAAGAUUCUCCCCAGUAAUCUGCUGAUUUCAUCCCAAGCAUAUUAGUUAGGCUUCCCCAGAGAAACAGAACCAAUGGGACACACACACACACAUUAUAUAUGAAGAGAUUCAUUAAGAAGAAUUGGCUCACCCAAUUAUGGAGAUAUGGAAGUCCAGUGGACUGCAACCUGGAGACCCAGAAAGCUGGUGGUGUCAUUCAAUCCAAGUCCAAAGGCCUGAGAAAAAGGGAAGCCACUGGUGUAAGUCUCAGUCUGAUGGCAGACUCAGACUGCUCAUGCAGGCAGGUAGAAAAAAGGGACAAAGUCUCCCUUCCUUAUUUUCUUGUUCUAGUCAGCCCAUCAGUAUUGGGAAAGGCCAUCUGCUUUCCUGAGCCAAAUAAUUCAAAUGCUUACCUCAUUUAGAAACACAUGCACACACACACAACUAGAAGUAAUGUUUGAAAAAUAUCUGGAUGCUCCAUGGUCCAGUCAAGUUUACACAUAAAAUUAACCCUCAUACCAAGGCUUCUCAGAGCAUGUUUGUUUAACUAUAGCUUCUCAAACUGUCUGUGGUGAACAAAAGUUGCCUCCUCCCCAACCACUGGGUACUGAUGCUUGUGUGAAAUACAACCAAAAUGAACCACAAAUGUGGUAUAUUCACACAAUGAAAUAUUAUUUAAAC
rnacentral:lncRNA from 1 species